rnacentral:rRNA from 1 species
AGUGAACGCUGGCGGUAGGCCUAACACAUGCAAGUCGAACGGCAGCACAGGAGAGCUUGCUCUCUGGGUGGCGAGUGGCGGACGGGUGAGGAAUACAUCGGAAUCUACUCUGUCGUGGGGGAUAACGUAGGGAAACUUACGCUAAUACCGCAUACGACCUACGGGUGAAAGCAGGGGAUCUUCGGACCUUGCGCGAUUGAAGGAGCCGAUGUCGGAUUAGCUAGUUGGCGGGGUAAAGGCCCACCAAGGCGACGAUCCGUAGCUGGUCUGAGAGGAGGAUCAGCCACACUGGAACUGAGACACGGUCCAGACUCCUACGGGAGGCAGCAGUGGGGAAUAUUGGACAAUGGGCGCAAGCCUGAUCCGGCCAUACCGCGUGGGUGAAGAAGGCCUUCGGGUUGUAAAGCCCUUUUGUUGGGAAAGAAAUCCAGCUGGCUAAUACCCGGUUGGGAUGACGGUACCCAAAGAAUAAGCACCGGCUAACUUCGUGCCAGCAGCCGCCGUAA